ensembl:piRNA 21ur-8498 ncRNA
UUUUUUUUUAAAAAUUGGUAA